GACGAAUGCUGGCGGCGUGCUUAACACAUGCAAGUCGAACGGAAAGGCCCUGCUUUUGUGGGGUGCUCGAGUGGCGAACGGGUGAGUAACACGUGAGUAACCUGCCCUUGACUUUGGGAUAACUUCAGGAAACUGGGGCUAAUACCGGAUAGGAGCUCCUGCUGCAUGGUGGGGGUUGGAAAGUUUCGGCGGUUGGGGAUGGACUCGCGGCUUAUCAGCUUGUUGGUGGGGUAGUGGCUUACCAAGGCUUUGACGGGUAGCCGGCCUGAGAGGGUGACCGGCCACAUUGGGACUGAGAUACGGCCCAGACGCCUACGGGAGGCAGCAGUGGGGAAUAUUGCACAAUGGGCGGAAGCCUGAUGCAGCAACGCCGCGUGCGGGAUGACGGCCUUCGGGUUGUAAACCGCUUUCGCCUGUGACGAAGCGUGAGUGACGGUAAUGGGUAAAGAAGCACCGGCUAACUACGU
rnacentral:rRNA from 1 species